GGGGUUGUGGCUCGGUGGUAGAGCGCUCACCUAGCAUGUGCGAGGCCCUGGGUUUGAUCCUCAGCACCACA
rnacentral:tRNA from 1 species